rnacentral:rRNA from 1 species
GAUGAACGCUGGCGGCGUGCCUAAUACAUGCAAGUCGAGCGAACGGACGAGAAGCUUGCUUCUCUGAUGUUAGCGGCGGACGGGUGAGUAACACGUGGAUAACCUACCUAUAAGACUGGGAUAACUUCGGGAAACCGGAGCUAAUACCGGAUAAUAUUUUGAACCGCAUGGUUCAAAAGUGAAAGACGGUCUUGCUGUCACUUAUAGAUGGAUCCGCGCUGCAUUAGCUAGUUGGUAAGGUAACGGCUUACCAAGGCAACGAUGCAUAGCCGACCUGAGAGGGUGAUCGGCCACACUGGAACUGAGACACGGUCCAGACUCCUACGGGAGGCAGCAGUAGGGAAUCUUCCGCAAUGGGCGAAAGCCUGACGGAGCAACGCCGCGUGAGUGAUGAAGGUCUUCGGAUCGUAAAACUCUGUUAUUAGGGAAGAACAUAUGUGUAAGUAACUGUGCACAUCUUGACGGUACCUAAUCAGAAAGCCACGGCUAACUACGUGCCAGCAGCCGCGGUAAUACGUAGGUGGCAAGCGUUAUCCGGAAUUAUUGGGCGUAAAGCGCGCGUAGGCGGUUUUUUAAGUCUGAUGUGAAAGCCCACGGCUCAACCGUGGAGGGUCAUUGGAAACUGGAAAACUUGAGUGCAGAAGAGGAAAGUGGAAUUCCAUGUGUAGCGGUGAAAUGCGCAGAGAUAUGGAGGAACACCAGUGGCGAAGGCGACUUUCUGGUCUGUAACUGACGCUGAUGUGCGAAAGCGUGGGGAUCAAACAGGAUUAGAUACCCUGGUAGUCCACGCCGUAAACGAUGGGUGCUAAGUGUUAGGGGGUUUCCGCCCCUUAGCGCUGCAGCUAACGCAUUAAGCACUCCGCCUGGGGAGUACGACCGCAAGGUUGAAACUCAAAGGAAUUGACGGGGACCCGCACAAGCGGUGGAGCAUGUGGUUUAAUUCGAAGCAACGCGAAGAACCUUACCAAAUCUUGACAUCCUUUGACAACUCUAGAGAUAGAGCCUUCCCCUUCGGGGGACAAAGUGACAGGUGGUGCAUGGUUGUCGUCAGCUCGUGUCGUGAGAUGUUGGGUUAAGUCCCGCAACGAGCGCAACCCUUAAGCUUAGUUGCCAUCAUUAAGUUGGGCACUCUAAGUUGACUGCCGGUGACAAACCGGAGGAAGGUGGGGAUGACGUCAAAUCAUCAUGCCCCUUAUGAUUUGGGCUACACACGUGCUACAAUGGACAAUACAAGGGGCAGCGAAACCGCGAGGUCAAGCAAAUCCCAUAAAGUUGUUCUCAGUUCGGAUUGUAGUCUGCAACUCGACUACAUGAAGCUGGAAUCGCUAGUAAUCGUAGAUCAGCAUGCUACGGUGAAUACGUUCCCGGGUCU